rnacentral:rRNA from 1 species
UACGUAGGAGGCAAGCGUUAUCCGGAUUUACUGGGCUUAAAGGGUGUGCAGGCGGUUGGACAAGUCGUGCUUGAAAGCCGUGCGCUCAACGCGCGGAGGCGGUGCGAGACUGUCGAGCUAGAGGCUGUGAGAGGGUGACGGAAUUCCGGGUGUAGUGGUGAAAUGCGUAGAGAUCCGGAGGAACACCAGAGGCGAAGGCGGUCACCUGGCACGUGCCUGACGCUGAGACACGACAGCAUGGGGAG